CGGGUUGUUGCUGGCCCCCAAACCGGGCACGUGCACNCCCUGUUUACGCAUCCACUCACACCUGUGCACCCUCUGUAGUUCUGUGGACCGGGAGACGUCGUCUUCCUUCCGUGGCUCUACGUCUUUACACACACGCCGUAGCGAAGUCUCAUGGAAUGUUUUUCGCGUUUAACGCAAUACAAUACAACUUUCAGCAACGGAUCUCUUGGCUCUCGCAUCGAUGAAGAACGCAGCGAAAUGCGAUAAGUAAUGUGAAUUGCAGAAUUCAGUGAAUCAUCGAAUCUUUGAACGCACCUUGCGCCCCUUGGUUAUUCCUCGGGGCAUGCCUGUUUGAGUAUCAUGAACACCUCAACUCUCGUGGUCUUCCAUGAUGAGCUUGGACUUUGGGGGUUUGCUGGCCCUGUGGCCGGCUCCUCUCAAACGAAUCAGCUUGCCAGUGUUUGGCGGCGUCACGGGUGUGAUAACCAUCUACGCUUGCGAUCGCCUGCCAGAUAACCCUCAGCGAUGAAGGUUCAUUGGGGCUCACAAAAGUCUCUCCACGGCGAGGACAAAUUUUGAAUGUUCGAUCUCAAAUCAGGUAGGACUACCCGCUGAACUUAAGCAUAUCAAUA
rnacentral:rRNA from 1 species